rnacentral:rRNA from 1 species
GAUCCUGGUUCAGGAUGAACGCUAGCUACAGGCUUAACACAUGCAAGUCGAGGGGCAGCAUAUCGAAAGCUUGCUUUGAUGAUGGCGACCGGCGCACGGGUGAGUAACGCGUAUCCAACCUUCCCUAUACUAGAGGAUAGCCCGGCGAAAGUCGGAUUAAUACUCUAUGUUCUUCGUAGAAGACAUCUGAAAUGAAGCAAAGGUUUACCGGUAUAGGAUGGGGAUGCGUCUGAUUAGGUUGUUGGCGGGGUAACGGCCCACCAAGCCCACGAUCAGUAGGGGUUCUGAGAGGAAGGUCCCCCACAUUGGAACUGAGACACGGUCCAAACUCCUACGGGAGGCAGCAGUGAGGAAUAUUGGUCAAUGGACGAGAGUCUGAACCAGCCAAGUAGCCGUGCAGGAUGACGGCCCUAUGGGUUGUAAACUGCUUUUAUACAGGGAUAAAGUGACGUACGUGUACGUUUUUGUAGGUACUGUAUGAAUAAGGACCGGCUAAUUCCGUGCCAGCCGCCGC